rnacentral:rRNA from 1 species
UCUGAUCUCAAAUCAGGUAGGACUACCCGCUGAACUUAAGC